UACGUAGGGUGCAAGCGUUGUCCGGAUUCAUUGGGCGUAAAGGGUGUGUAGGUGGCGCCGUAAGUCGGGUGUGAAAUCUCGGGGCUUAACUCCGAAACUGCAUUCGAUACUGCGGUGCUUGAGGACUGGAGAGGAGACUGGAAUUCAUGGUGUAGCAGUGAAAUGCGUAGAGAUCAUGAGGAAGACCAGUGGCGAAGGCGGGUCUCUGGACAGUUCCUGACACUGAGACACGAAGGCCAGGGGAGCAAACGGG
rnacentral:rRNA from 1 species